UAAUACUGGAUAGGCAAAUUUUUCCUGUAAUGGUUUUUUUGUUUAAAUGUUUUUUCGCCUAAGGAUGGGUCUGCGGCCGAUUAGGUAGUUGGUUAGGUAAUGGCUUACCAAGCCUUUGAUCGGUACGGGUUGUGAGAGCAAGAGCCCGGAGAUGGAACCUGAGACAAGGUUCCAGGCCCUACGGGGUGCAGCAGGCGCGAAACCUCCGCAAUGUGAGAAAUCGCGACGGGGGGAUCCCAAGUGCCAUUCUUAACGGGAUGGCUUUUCAUUAGUGUAAAGAGCUUUUGGAAUAAGAGCUGGGCAAGACCGGUGCCAGCCGCCGCGGUAACACCGGCAGCUCUAGUGGUAGCAAUUUUUAUUGGGCCUAAAGCGUCCGUAGCCGGUUUAAUAAGUCUCUGGUGAAAUCCUGUAGCUUAACUAUGGGAAUUGCUGGAGAUACUAUUAGACUUGAGACCGGGAGAGGUUAGAGGUACUCCCAGGGUAGAGGUGAAAUUCUGUAAUCCUGGGAGGACCGCCUGUUGCGAAGGCGUCUAACUGGAACGGUUCUGACGGUGAGGGACGAAAGUUAGGGGCGCGAACCGGAUUAGAUACCCGGGUAGUCCUAACUGUAAACGAUGCGGACUUGGUGUUG
rnacentral:rRNA from 1 species